UCUGACAUCUGGACAUAAGUCCUCAGAGGAAAGGAAGCUUGAUUUGUCUCAACCUGCCCCAACUUUCUGUUUGCGUCCAGAGUUCAACUUGUCUUUAUUUACACACAAUCAAAGAUAGGCCUGUUACUGCGUUGGCCAUAUUUUGCAGUUGCCAUUGGGCAUGUGAAGUCUGCAGGAGACUGAGGAGCAGCUAUAAAUUCAGAAGGAGCCUCUCUCCCUCAGAAAUCACUUUCCUGAACCAGAUGCCACCAGGUUCUGUUUCUCUGUGGAAGAGUUGUGUUCAUCGAUGCCAUGUGAGAACAGAAAUAUUGCAGAAGAACAUGUCAAAACGAGAUACCUUGCAAAGAGACAGACAGGCCUGUCAGGUCCAAAGAGCAAGGGAAGAACUGCUCCAUCUUCAACCCUUCUCUGAGGGUAGGCCUCUCAUCCAACAUUCUCUCUAAGCCGCGGGGCCGGAAAGAGCGCCGGAAAAUUAGAGGACUGUUGGUCUCAUCUCAAGAUGACCAUCUGGCCUCCCUCCCAUUUCCUCAGUCACAAGGAAGACUCUGAACACUUUCUGGGUGUUAGAGGCCAGAGCAA
rnacentral:lncRNA from 1 species